rnacentral:rRNA from 1 species
CACGUAUUUAGCCGGUGCUUCUUAGUCAGGUACCGUCAUUGUUCUUCCCUGCUGAUAGGGCUUUACAUACCGAAAUACUCCUUCACCCACGCGGCGUCGCUGCAUCAGGGUCCCCCCCAUUGUGCAAUAUUCCCCACUGCUGCCUCCCGUAGGAGUUUGGGCCGUGUCUCAGUCCCAAUGUGGCCGGUUGCCCUCUCAGGCCGGCUACUGAUCGUCGGUUUGGUGGGCCGUUACCCCGCCAACUGCCUAAUCAGACGCGGGCCCAUCCCAUACCGCGAAAGCUUUCCAUCCAGGGGCAUGCGCCCCCGCAUGUGCAUGCGGUAUUAGCAGCCGUUUCCGGCUGUUAUCCCCCUGUAUGGGGCAGGUUACCCACGCGUUACUCACCCGUCCGCCACUCAGUCACGCGGCCUUCCACCCCGGAGGGCUUCCGUCCCCGUGCUUCGUUCGACUUGCAUGUGUUAAGCACGCCGCCAGCGUUCAUCCUGAGCCAGGAUCAAACUCU